UUCAAGUCAAGUCAAGCGUUCGAUAAUCACCCAGCAAGUCAUGGGUACUGAAACUCCAACACAUUCAAAGAAAUUUUAAUAUCACCACUACAUACACACAUACACAUCAAAGGGUAAAAUGUGCAUAAACAUUUAACUCAACUCUUCUCUCAUACAGCACCCUGAAUGAUGGCUGCUUGUGAUUUAUUAUUUUUCGUGUUUUAUUUAAAUCAGUAAUCUGCAGCCUAAUUAAAGUUUAAAUUUUUGAAGUACGCAUUUUUAAAUAAGUAAAACGUAAAAUAAAAGUUUCCUAAAGCCAAAAUAUGGAAUUGAAGAGGGUGAUACAGAAAUACUUCAUUGCACUGCCAAUUCGAAGCACGCAAUAGAAGCUACGCCAAUUGAUGUUGACAAUGGCGAAACCAUUUAAUACGUAAAUAAUUGUUGAAUAUAAUAAUAUUAUCUUGCCUUAAAUUCUAAUUAAUUUUCCACACAGAUAUUUCAAACCUCUUAUGGCGCGUUAAAGGUACGCAAACUUAUUGGUGUCACUUAUUGUAGCAGCGUAGAACUUUCGAAGCGAUGGAAUAUGUGCUUCAAGCAAAUCCAAAACUAUGGACGCAAACGCUGCUACAUGGAACACAAAUCAUUCACACACCAGAUAUUACGUUUAAAGUCACUUUUUUCGUGCAAUUAAACCUUUUGGUCAACACAAUCACGAGAAUUGGAACGACAUGGCGUAUGUCAACUGGGCUUUGCCAAUGAGCUAGAGGGCAAAGCAGUUUCAGUAUCUUUGAGCUUACCGGCACUUGGCCGUGCCAUUAGCAGCUAAAACACAGCAAUUAAAGGGAGGACUUUUUUGAUUAAUUUUCACCUUGUAUUGAGGAACCAUAACGUUGUUGUAUCGCUUUACAAGGACAUAAAUUCACCGAAAUUAGUUCAAUGGAAAUACUACAGCAAGAGCAUGGAUGUUAAGACUUGAACGGUGCCGUGUUAGAUUUAGAAUUCCUGAAACAUAAGAAACCCAGAUGAAUCUAGUACUAGUGAAAUUAAUGAAAGAACAGAUCUUAUAAAAACUCCGAAAGAAACCAAGAGUCCUCACAUAAUGUGCGCAGCUUUCACUUCUAGACCGCACGGGGUAUUUGACAUUUUCCACUCUUCCUCCAGCCUUUGUCCGAUAGCAAAAAUUGUUCAAAUAUUCAUUUUCACCUACUUUAUACAUAUGUAUAUAGUGUAGUACGAUAAUAAAUA